UGGUUGAUCCUGCCAGUAGUCAUAUGCUUGUCUCAAAGAUUAAGCCAUGCAUGUCUAAGUUUAAGCAAUUAAACGGCGAAACUGCGAAUGGCUCAUUAAAUCAGUUAUCGUUUAUUUGAUAGUACCUUACUACUUGGAUAACCGUGGUAAUUCUAGAGCUAAUACAUGCGAAAAAUCCCGACUUCGGAAGGGAUGUAUUUAUUAGAUAAAAAACCAAUGCCCUCUGGGCUCCUUGGUGAUUCAUAAUAACUCAUCGAAUCGCAUGGCCUUGCGCCGGCGAUGGUUCAUUCAAAUUUCUGCCCUAUCAACUUUCGAUUGGAAGGUAGUGUCCUCCAAUGGUUUCGACGGGUAACGAAGAAUUAGGGUUCGAUCUCGGAGAGGAAGCCUGAGAAACGGCUUACACAUCCAAGGAAGGCAGCAGGCGCGCAAAUUACCCAAUCCUGAUGCAGGGAGGUAGUGACAAUAAAUACUGAUGCAGGGCUCUUUAGGGUCUUGCAAUUGGAAUGAGUACAAUUUAAAUCCCUUAACGAGGAACAAUUGGAGGGCAAGUCUGGU
rnacentral:rRNA from 1 species